rnacentral:rRNA from 1 species
UACGUAGGGGGCAAGCGUUGUCCGGAUUUAUUGGGCGUAAAGAGCGUGUAGGCGGCCAGGUAGGUCAGCUGUGAAAACUCGAGGCUCAACCUCGAGACGUCGGUUGAAACCACUUGGCUAGAGUCCGGAAGAGGAGAGUGGAAUUCCUGGUGUAGCGGUGAAAUGCGCAGAUAUCAGGAAGAACACCCGUGGCGAAGGCGGCUCUCUGGGACGGUACUGACGCUGAGACGCGAAAGCUAGGGGAGCAAACAGG